GUGGUUUCUUGCCUUGAGCCUUUUGGAGUUCAGUGCCAUUUUGAAAUCUUACUGGAGACUUUCUGUCCCAUUUGUCCAUUGGGAAUUCUAUGUGCAGUCUUUGGACGCACUGAAAAAGAAUCUUGUGGGCUUUGCAGCUUUUUGCAACUUAUUGAUGCAUCACCAAAAAACUGAUAUUUUUUCAGAGCUUUUGCCUUUGGUUGAGAUGUGUGGCUGGAGCACUCUAUGAUAGAAGAGGACUCGAAACAGGAAUAAUCAAGUCGACCUCCUGUUCAUUGAUACUCCUUUGAUGGAACUGUGAAACUUUUGGGGAACUGUUAUUGCUAUUUAGUCUUCUAUUGAACAUACUUGUAUGAUUUUGUUUCAAUGCAUUCUUAGUUGUUUGAUCACUAUAA